AACGAACGCUGGCGGCAUGCUUAAUACAUGCAAGUCGUACGAGAAAGUCCUUCGGGAUGAGUAGAGUGGCGCACGGGUGAGUAACGCAUAGGAACGUACCCUAAGAUUUGGAAUAACCAAGGGAAACUUUGGCUAAUACCGUAUGAUCUCGCAAGAGCAAAGGGGGCGCAAGCUUCCGUCUUAGGAUCGGCCUAUGUCCCAUUAGCUAGUUGGCGGGGUAAUAGCCCACCUAGGCGACGAUGGGUAGCUGGUCUGAGAGGAUGAUCAGCCACACUGGGACUGAGACACGGCCCAGACUCCUACGGGAGGCAGCAGUAGGGAAUAUUGCACAAUGGGGGAAACCCUGAUGUAGCAAUGCCGCGUGAGUGAAGAAGGCCCUUGGGUCGUAAAGCUCUUUCGGUUGGGAAGAAGGGUUUUGCAGUGAACACCUGCAGAACUGGACGGUACCUAAAGAAGAAGCACCGGCUAAUCUCGUGCCAGCAGCCGCCGUAAGAC
rnacentral:rRNA from 1 species